ensembl:lncRNA
GCAAAUCAGAAGACUUGGUUUUGGAAGCUGAAAACUUACUUCGGCAACAAGAGUCCUCCACGGGUCCCUAAUUGUGCUCUUGCUGGUGAGGCCUGAGAAGCCCUCUUGGGGCCUCUGGGGCUUGUAACCAGCCCUGCUUAGUCUCUGCAGAACUCUGAGGCUCCCUACCUAUAGGGAGACAGUCUGCCUGCCGGUCACCUCCUACUCAUCACUGGAAUCACAGACAGAACAAGUGGUGGCAACACUGGCCUGAAGAUUCCUGACAACGUAGGUCUGGCCGGGAUUGGAAGCGUCAUCCAGCCUCAGGCCGGGGACCCGCCGCCAAGCGCCGCCUCCGCGGGAUGGUCCUCGGCAGCCGCCGUAGCGCAGAGACGAAUCCGCGCGCCCCCAGGCUGCCGCGAGCUACCAGGAGGCUUCCACCUGAGCGGCGCGUCCUCAGGGCUUGGGCCUGGCCUCCUUGCCUGUGAGGUGGCACUGUGGCAGUGCCCACCUCGUGGGCUGUGUGAGGGCCGAGUGAAAUCGUGCAUAUGCGGUAAGAAAGUGCUUUUCACGGUGCCCUGUCCUAAUAUGGGCUGCCAGCCUAAGUACAGAGGCACAGUCCCAGCCCAAAGGCCAGUUUCCAGGUGAGCCCCUGUCGGGGAGACCACCAGACGGAACAGUGCCAGUCUACACUCCUGCACCGAGCAGGGCACAGUGUGGACGGCAGAGAGGUCUGAAGUCCCUUUAGAAUAAGGAUAAUGCUUCAGGGUUGUUAAAAGGAUUAAAUGAGAUGAUAUCUAAAGGGAUUAGCACAGUGGCUGAUGCUAAAAUAAAUCAUUUUCCCUACUGCCACUGCCCUUAAAACCAGACGCCUGCAACAGCCGGCCGGUACGUCUCCUCAUUUGUAAACUGGAGUUAGCAGGUGUGUUGUGAAGAUUGAGAAAAUUACGCAUAGGCAGAACCUGGCGUUUAAUAUUUGGGAAAUGGCAGCAAUUCUUUCUUCACUAGAUAAUCUACAGGCUGCACUGUGGUAGGCACAUAUGCUUAGCACCGAUUCUUAUAAGUGCAGGUGAAGAGAGAGAGAAGACAUAUUGUGUAAGUCGAAGGAGCCAGCCGCGUCCAGGCCGCAGCAAAACCUCAGCAGUACUGUACCAGGGCCCUCUUCUGUGAAUGAAUCUCCUCUUUGGCCUGUUUCCUGUCUGUUUGCAUUUGCUGCACCCAUCAGUUCCCAGACCUGGCCUUUAAAGCCAGGAGCUCUAGGAUGCUUGUCCCAAUCCUAGAAAACAAGUACAGCACACACCAACAGCAGCACCCCUAAAAGCCAGCCCUACUGGCAGUGCAGGCCCUGCAACCCGUAGGUAAGUGGGACACUCUAAGCUUCUUGGAGACAGCUAACUCAGGGCCUGAUUAGCUUACUCCCACCUCCUCUCUUCAGGAAAUCAGACUGUGUAAAGUAAGAGAGAAAAGAAAAUUAGCAUAAGUCUAUUCUAUUGUCUAAUGACAUGUGUUUCACUUGUGUUAAAAGUGAAUUGUGGGCUGGCGUGGUGGCUCAUUUGCCUGUAAUCCCAACACUUUAGGAGGCCACGGCAGGCAGAUUGCUUGAGCCCAGAAGUUUGAAACCAGCCUGGCAACAUGGAAAAACCCCAUCUCUACAAAAAAUACAAAAAUUAGCAGGAUAUGGUAGCUCAUGCCUGUAGUCCCAGUUACUCUGGAGGCUGAGGUGGGAGGAUGGCUUGAACCUGUCAGGUCGAGGCUGCCGUGAGCUGUAAUCACGCCAGUGCACUCCAGCCUGGGUGACAGAAUCAGUUCUUGUCUAAAAAAAAAAAAAAAAAAAAAAAAAAAAAAAAAAGUGAAUUGUAGUACCAGCUACAUUUAUAGAGCCCUUUGUCUUUACAGUCAUGGUGCUAAAGUCUCUGAUCUCAUUUAAUCCUUACAGCCACUCUCACAAUGCUCUGUCCAUUUUACAUAUUGGAAAACUAAGACUCAGGUUAAGAGAGACUUGUUGAAGGUCACAGCUAGUAAGCUGCAGAGAACCAGAAAGUGAAUCUGGGUGGACCUUGACUCUAAACAGUUUGCUUUUAACAACUAUACUCCUUUGAACAUAUUUACCCUAUUUUCUUCAUUAAGUAAAAUGCUUUCUGUGUCUUAAUUUUCAGAACCUCUAAUAAAACAUUUUGCAGAACAUAUUUUCUAAGUAUCCCUGAUCCCCACAAACCAGGCUUUCUUCCCUAAUCUUUUAGUCAUUGCAAACAUGUAAUAGAUGCAUGCUGAGUUUGUGAGCUUGGCACCACACAUGACAGGCUUUGGUUAGGGAAUUCAGCUACAAGCAACCAAACCCUCAUAGCCAAAGCCAGGGGUGCUAGGACCCCUGGCCCUGCAGUGGCCCUGAUAUGGCCUUUCCAUCCUCACAGUUACUGGGACAAAACGUCCUAUGCUUUCACCCUUAUGUGGCUCCAGAGGUAGGAUUUAAUUUUUUAAAAAUCUGCAAUACUGCAGCAGAGAUGUAGUUAUGAGUCAGGGAUGUGUACGUGUGUGUGUCUGUGUGUGAAAGCCAGUCUCUCAGCACCAGCUAAAAAUGUGAAGCAGCAAGUCUGUG